CCUGCCAAGCAGGAACAAAGAAAACAUCCAGCAACUGCCACUGAUGCAGCGCAAUUUCAGUCUUCUGUGGCACACACCCUGUGUAUCAGGAGUUAAACCUGCAGACAUAACCAAUCACAAACUAAAUCCAAAGCACAGCAAUGCAAGUGGCUGGAAGCUACAGCUUGUGAAGUCUUUUUCAGGACAUCCUUUGGUUCUGAGUCACUUGAAAAUGUCUCUUUCAAAGAAAUGCAUUGGGUUGAGAGAAGCAACAGCAACAAGCAGACAAUGUAAUUCUGCUGCUCACGGCUCUCAUCUUCUGGCAAGCUUCAUGUCAAAGCACUGCUUAGAUUUAAAACUCUCUUCAUACACCUGCUAAGGCAGGUAAAACAGAGUUAAGUAAAUGGAAAUUUAUUUACAAGCUGCCUUCUGCUUUUUGUCUGACUUCACAUGCAAGUGUUCCUUGCAGUAGUCCUCCUUCUACUUUUGACACCUGAAUGAAUGCUCCUGUGAACAUCACCAUCCUCCUGCUUCCCAUUUCUUCUUUGCUCUGGUAUCUAUCUGACAAAACUAGAAACAGGCAGAAAAUUUCUCCUUGAUACUGGAGGGCAGAUGGUCUGAUAUUGGUGCUUAUUGUGCCCACAAUACUCCAUUUGUGGUCCAUGGUCUGAGAUCACCCUAUCUUUUGUUCUAUCCCUAGACAGUACUCUCUUCUAGACAGACAGUGGCAGAUUCAGUGCUGUAAAUUCAAAUUUCCUCCAUCCCUACCCUAUAAAAAGGACGUUUUUAAGAGGAAAAUGGAUUAACAUUACAAGUGCUACUUCACAGCUGGAAGCCAGAUAAGCAGCAUUUGAGGUGUGCUCACAUGACAUCCCAUCAAAGCCUCCUAAAGCAAAAUCAUAUAAGAAUGGCAUCUAAUUUAAUGCAGUUUAAACUUAAGGUCCUCUUCAAAGUCUUACAACUUUGAUUGAAAACACGACUCAGGAUAUGCAACACCACCUAAAUCAUAGAAAAGCAUGCCACAAAGGUACCAGCUCUGUAUUUACCUGACCUAACUCAAAAGAUUUUUAUAAAUGUGCCAGAACUGGACAAGGUGUCCCAAUAGAAGAGAACAUGCUCUCAGGAGGUAUAAACUAUCACUGCUGGAGUCAGUGAGAUUAUGGCAAUUUCCACCAGCUCAGUAACACAAGGCACUUUUAUUAGCAUCCUUAGAAUAUGAUAUUCUCUGGUAUUGUUUUUUUAACUUUAAAAUAAACCUAGCUGAGAUAUUACUGCUUAUCCAAACAGAUGUGAAAUCUGCUGUACCUAGUAAAAAAUUUUAUAAGGCACACAAUGCCAACAUUUCUUCCAUCUUUAUUAUUCUGGAAGCUGCUGGGACACGAUGGAAUCUGCCUAGGAGAUGUUGACAAACCCCAUGUUCUUAGAGGGCAGCCACUUCUGUCAGUUCUAUGCAUUAACAAAUCAAUCAACACUUUGGGAAGGAUGUUUGUACAUGGUAGUUACUCCAUGAGCUUAUCCAGAAGUUGUUUAGUAGAACAGCACCCCUUUUCCAACAGAAACAAGUCAGAGAACAUGACUGCAACAUGGCACAUGUGUGAAGGAAAUCACCUGACAACAUGGGAUCUGUCACUUAUACUCCACUGGUAAAAUGCAGGAAUUCCACCCAUCCUCAUCAUUACCUUACCUUUGGCAAGACAUGCCUUUUCCCAAGCUGAUUCCUGAAGAGGUGGUGGUGUUAUCAAAAUAAUCCUGUCUGCAGUAAUGUCUACUGACUUCAGGUACUGCACCAUGCUCUUCAGGUUGGCAGCAUACUCCUCCAAAGGAACAUGUUGCUUAGGGUUCAGCUCUGUGAGGGGUGCAGCACAUGCAUCAGUGGGGCUGAGCUCCCUGCAGGUUUCUUACACAGAAUAACAGGACUUCUAUGCAGUUUGGCCAUGGACAUUCAUUUCCAGUAUGCAGUUCCCCUCAACCAUGCAUUCGGGAGGUGUGGUAGGAAAAUUCUGUUCCUCAAUGCCCAAAGCAGACAAAUCAAGAGUUUAAAAACAGCAUUUCCAACAGGCAAAUAAGGCACAGGGGAGAAAAAGCCUCAACAGUUGGGUUUCUUUAAGAUGCUUUUUCUCAUCUUAGUAGCAGAAAGGAUAAUCACCUCAAACCUUGCCUGAACCAAAACCUGAGAUUUCCAAUAUUCUUGGAUGCAGAGAAAAUUUUGGAAAGUCCCAUGGACAUGCAGUCAGUCCUUCAUGCACUGAUAUUGUCAUUUUGGUUAGACUGCAUCCUGCUAUGCUCAUCUGAAAGAGUAUCCAAAUGCUACCUUCCCUCCUUUCCUCAGCCCAUCUUCUGAGAACUCAUCAGCCUCCUUUAAAGACAGAAAAAACAGCUGGAUGCCCAACUCCACUUUUAGGCAGCUGCUACACUACUAACUUGAGCACCCUGAAUUUACUUUUUUAGUAUUAAAACUUCGUGACAGGGAGAGAAAUCACUGCAUGGUUUAAAUACAAAUGAAAUGACUGAAAACCAACCUCUGUAUAAAAGAAAAGAGAGCAAACAGUUCCUGGAGAAGUAGCAGGAAAAGUCUGUGAAAUGUUCUGUCUAUUCUGCUAAACUGUAAAACCAUUUUAAGAGAACAGGUCACAGAAAAAAAAAGACAGAAAGCAAGCUACCCUACCUUUCAAAGCACUGUCAUUAGCUCCAAAGAAAAUGGUAACUGCAACAAUACUGUCAGCACUAGUACUUUCAUUGAUCAGUCUUGGAAGAACCAAUUUAGCCCAUCUGGUGUUGUACCCCGAGAUCCCACGAUUCACAACAUCACAUUUUCUGAAAUGGAAACACAUAUCAAAAAGAACAUCUCUUCUCUGUCCACCAAAACAAAACUUGGGAAGCUUUGAACCAUUCUGUUGGGUCAUCUGCCUCUAUCCCUGUCAGGAAAAAUGAGAAAACUCACCUGAAUUUUCAAUGGAAUUGUGCUUUGAAAGUGCACACACAGGCUGCACAUGUAGUUACUUUCACCAUGGAACUAGAACAACAAUCCUGACAAUCACUAAAGAAUUUUUAAUUUCCACUCAAGCUUUGAGUGGAAACACCCAGUGAGUAUUUCCACCAUCUCUGGGCAUGCUGCCCAGAAGGCAGUUCCACUUCACUAAAUAAAUAAAUGUCAAUAAAUAGACAAACAUGUA